GCACCCGCGGUAAUUCCAGCACCAAUAGCGUAUAUUAAUGCUGCUGCUGUUAAAAAGCUCGUAGUUGGAUCAAGAGUUGGACUGUGCGUGGUGGCCCCGUUAGUUGUGGUGGGUCCUGCUCAUCCCGACGGCGGCGGAACUACCCCGCGCAUUACGCAGUCCACUCUAACAGGCCGAAACGGUUCCCUGUGAGUAGGCCCCUUCAUUGGAGUCGAAAGCGCCAACGCAUCGACCAUAUGCAUACGGGACGUCGGCCAAUGUUACUGUGAACAAACCAGCGUGUCCAAAGCAGGCCUUCGCCUGAAUGUUCGAGCAUGGAAUAACAAGGGAUCGAUUCUCUCGGUUCUUUUUGUUGGUUUUUAACCCGAGAAGGAGUAAUUCAGUCCACGGUGUCUGAGUUGGGUUCCCCUAGGUUUCGGCUUAGGCCCCAAUUAGGCCGUGUGCUUACGGGAUCAAUAGGGACUGACGGGGUCGUACGUACUUCCGCGUCAGAGGUGAAAUUCUUAGAUCGCGGGAAGACGAACUUCUGCGAAAGCAUUCGACAAGAAUGUCUUCAUUAAUCAAGAACGAGAGUGUGGGGAUCGAAGAUGAUCAGAUACCGUCGUAGUCCACUACUGUAAACAAUGCCGUCUCAGGAUUGAGAAGUGAACUGAAUGACUUUCACAGCACUAACCCCUGAAACGAGAAAUCAAAGAUUAUGGGUUCAGGGGGGAGUACAUUCGCAAGGCUGAAACUUAAAGGAAUUGACGGAAUGACACCACAAGGCGUGGAGUAUGCGGCUUAAUUUGACUCAACACGGGGAAUUUUACUAGGUCAGGACAAUGUAAGGAUUGACAGAUUGAGAGCUCUUUCUCGAUCCAUUGUGUGGUGGUGCAUGGCCGCUCCUGGUUGGUGGAGUGAUUUGUCUGGUUGAUUCCGUUAACGAACGAGAUCUCGACCCUUAAAUAGGUGCCCGUGUCGCUUGUAGUCUCACUCCGCUGGGCCUGCCCUUCUUGGAUGGGACGAGACUGCGGGAAUACUUCUUAAGGGGACUGUAUGCGUUUAUAGCAUGCGGAAGAGCGAGCCAAUAGCAGGUCUGUGAUGCUCCUAAAUGUCCUAGGCUGCACGCGCACUACACUGAUGCAAUAAACGAGUCUGAGUGCCUUCUGGCAACCUACCUGGAAGCGGGUGGGAAAUCUUUUGAACUUGCAUCGUGAUGAG
rnacentral:rRNA from 1 species